AGCGAACGCUGGCGGCAGGCCUAACACAUGCAAGUCGAACGAACUCUUCGGAGUUAGUGGCGGACGGGUGAGUAACACGUGGGAACGUGCCUUUAGGUUCGGAAUAACUCAGGGAAACUUGUGCUAAUACCGAAUGUGCCCUUCGGGGGAAAGAUUUAUCGCCUGUAGAGCGGCCCGCGUCUGAUUAGCUAGUUGGUGAGGUAACGGCUCACCAAGGCGACGAACAGUAGCUGGUCUGAGAGGAUGGCCAGCCACACUGGGACUGAGAGCACGGCCCAGACUCCUACGGGAGGCAGCAGUGGGGAAUCUUGCGCAAUGGGCGAAAGCCUGACGCAGCCAUGCCGCGUGAAUGAUGAAGGUCUUAGGAUUGUAAAAUUCUUUCACCGGGGACGAUAAUGACGGUACCCGGAGAAGAAGCCCCGGCUAACUUCGUGCCAGCCGCCGCAGUAA
rnacentral:rRNA from 1 species